rnacentral:tRNA from 1 species
GCGGGCGUAGUUCAACGGUAGAACAAGAGACUUCCAAUCUCUUAACGCGGGUUCGACUCCCGCCGCCCGCU